rnacentral:rRNA from 1 species
CAAUAGCGUAUAUUUAAGUUGCUGCAGUUAAAAAGCUCGUAGUUGGAUCUCGGGUGGGAAUGGCCGGUCCGCCGUUUCGGUGUGCACUUGCUACGCCCACCUUGCUGCCGGGGACGUGCUCUUGAGUUCACGCUCGGGACACGGAGUCGGCGAGGUUACUUUGAGUAAAUUAGAGUGUUCAAAGCAGGCCUACGCUCUGAAUACAUUAGCAUGGAAUAACACGAUAGGACUCUGGCCUAUCUUGUUGGUCUGUAGGACCGGAGUAAUGAUUAAGAGGGACAGUCGGGGGCAUUCGUAUUUCAUUGUCAGAGGUGAAAUUCUUGGAUUUAUGAAAGACGAACUACUGCGAAAGCAUUUGCCAAGGAUGUUUUCAUUAA